rnacentral:rRNA from 1 species
AUUGAACGCUGGCAGCAUGCCUUACACAUGCAAGUCGAACGGUAACAGGUCUUCGGAUGCUGACGAGUGGCGAACGGGUGAGUAAUACAUCGGUACGUGCCUAGUAGUGGGGGAUAACUACUCGAAAGAGUGGCUAAUACCGCAUAAGAUCUACGGAUGAAAGCAGGGGAUCGCAAGACCUUGUGCUACUAGAGCGGCCGAUGGCAGAUUAGGUGGUUGGUGGGAUAAAAGCUUACCAAGCCGACGAUCUGUAGCUGGUGUGAGAGGACGAUCAGCCACACUGGGACUGAGACACGGCCCAGACUCCUACGGGAGGCAGCAGUGGGGAAUUUUGGACAAUGGGCGAAAGCCUGAUCCAGCAAUGCCGCGUGCAGGAUGAAGGCCUUCGGGUUGUAAACUGCUUUUGUACGGAACGAAAAGCCCCGGGUUAAUGCCCUGGGGUCAUGACGGUACCGUAAGAAUAAGCACCGGCUAACUACGUGCCAGCCGCCGCAGUAA